rnacentral:tRNA from 1 species
UAGAAGAACAGGAAUCGAACCUAUAACUGAGAAAUCAAAAUUCUCCGUAAUUCCAA